rnacentral:lncRNA from 1 species
AUGAUAAAAGUAACAUCAGAUAGAUAUCAUACUGAAAUUGAAAUAUUUUAUGGCAAGACAAUAUUUGAAAUAACUUCAAUUAAUUUAGUCAUGAAAUAACUUGCUUGAACGUAACAUUUAAACUCAUUUGAUAUAUAUGAAAGUAAUGCCCACCUGCUAGCAAAGCUUUGCUACAGACUAGUGACUCCUUGACGAGCUCUUAUUCUUGCGCUCGACCUUUAAUCCGAGAAAAUAACGUAAGACUUUAAAUCCAGGGAAAAUUCUCAAUUAAAUGAGAAUGCGUAAUUUAACUAUGCAUGAAUCUCGUAUGCAUGAACUAUUAUUAUGAGAUAAUAAUCAGGGAAUUUCUAUUGUUAAUCCAGGCUAUCGGAUUUAAACAAAAGCUAAGUCUCGUCUCAUGAAGCCGGAUAAUUAACAAAAAUUAAUCCGUUCUCUUCGGGGUGUUCUAAUCCGUCAAUUAAAUAAACCCCGUUCCUCGUAGUCAAUAGAAAAUAAAUAAAUAUUUCAGCUUAUUCGCUUUAUAACCUCAUAAUUAAUCGGGCUUAAUAAGUAGGAACAAAUAAUGUUAUAAGAUUAAAUAAUUAAAAGGCUCAACAUAAGGCAGCCUAAUAAUUAAUUAAGUAGAAGUGGGCUUGAAUAAUUAACAUGAGAGGCCCAAUUGAAAUAAUUCAUCGGCUCAAGUAAUUAAAUAAAUCUUGGCCCAAUAAAUAAAUAAUUUGAUUAGCUGGGCUCAAUUAAAUAAAUCAAACGAGGCCCAACUAAGAUAUAUAACAGCCCAAUUAAUAUAAAAUAGUUGGGCUUUAAUUUAAAUAAAUUUGGCCCAAAGAAAUAAUGUAAUAGAGGCCCAUCUGAGUAAAUAAAUAAGGUCCAACUGAAAUAAUAACAAGGCCCAAAUUUUAAUUAAUAUCGGCCCAAUAUUAAAUAAAUAAAGCCCAAACAUUUGGCCCAACUAAUUAAAAUCGGCCCAUAUAAAUAAAAUCUGAAGGCAAUUCAAUUUAAAAUCGGCCCAANGUUAAGGUAUAUAUACUUAUCUUGAGUAUAUCCUUAGGGUCUCAUUAGAAUCUUAAUUCAUUUGUUUCAGCAUUGAUCCACUAUCGGCGCUCUAGCUAUUAUUAAACUCUGAACCAUCUUCGAGAACUUCUCUCGUCUUACACACUUGCAUAGAUUUUCUAGUCAAUCAUAAUGGUUGGUAACUUCUAGUUACCCAUGGCACCUAUUCUCCUUUCGAUUUGUAGCAGGUGAUCGUAAUCAAUAGGGAUUCUAAAUCAUGCUCACGUGUAAUAUAAUAGGUAAUUGUAAUCAUAAAGGUUCUGAAUAUACUGAAACUGUAAGCUAGCAGUUCUAAUCGCGAUGCUAUAACAUCAUACACAAAGUGUUAUAACUGCAUAUGAGUCCGACUCUGAAGUUCAAACAUAAAUCAUGAAGGUUCUCUUCAUGCCAUAACUGGUGAUAAUCGAGAGUUAGUAAUGAGUCUUAGCUCAUUAUGCGAUAGCUAGCUGAUUACAUAAGUCACACUCGUCGCUACGAGCAAUGACUCACGUGAUCUAUCAUCAAAUAAGGCAAUAGUCGAUUCGGUGUUCUGUCACUCGUGAACACCCUGAAUGAAGAACUAUGCCUGCUUCAGUGAUUCGUGCGUGGCACUCCGCUUGCACUGCUUUCAUGGGAUUCUCUUUUUCUUUCUUUAGCUCUUCACCAUGGCUAUAGUGAAUAUAACUGAGUUUCUAGCUUCUAUUGUUCUUCUCGUAACAGUGAUCAUGCAUUCUUAACGCAUCUAAGUUCAUUGAGAUAUCUAAUCAAUCAAUAAAGCAUAAAACUUGAAUGUAAGCAUCAGUACAUUCAUAUAAAACGUGAACUUCUCAAUGUUUUAAAAUCAUUACCACCUUCUUUCUUGCUGAGCAUGACGAUGUGAUGAAGUGAUGAGCUUUGGCUGACUGACUCAUAUAUACUAGUGAUCAUACUAGAAAAAUGGGCUAACUCUAGGGUUCAGAGCAAAUGAACUGCUCUGAUACCACUCUGUCACGACCGAUCCUAAUUAAGGAUAAUUAAGCCGGGGAAACCGUGACUAAUGGAGGGAGAUUAGAAGCGGGGUAGAAAGGGGAAUAAUCAAACAAGAAAGGAUCACAUUUCAUCAUUUAACAAAAGGAAUAUUUAUAAUAUAACAGAAGUUUAGUCGUAUAGACUCAAAUAACUAGUAAGUUCAGAUAUCUCUGACUUAGCCAAAUAAACAUAAAACUUCUGAGUACGCAGCGGAAUAAGGUUCUGAUUACAUGUAUGAAGACAUGUAACCCUAGAGUUCAUUAAUACAUAAUAAGACAAAAGAAUCCCGCUCGUCACUUCAUCACCAUCGGCAGCUGCUCAACCUGCACAUUUAGAAAUAUAUGCAGGGCUUGAGUACAAAAGUACUCAGUGGGCACGUAUGCCUAAGUAUAAAAUACAUGCUUCAAAACUGUAAAUUGUCAUGCCAUAAUAAACAGUACAGCAAGGGAGUUUUUCGCUAAAAGGCCCAAGCUUACUAAAUUCAUUUGUGAUUCUUAAAGUUCGACUGCAGUCUAAGUUCUCUUGUAAUCUAUCAUAUCUGGAACUUUGUGCCGGAGAGGUGGCCACCUCUCACGGUCACUUGACCGGCCAACCCGCUAGAUGACUCACGGUCACUGGUGUACACUAGCCCUGGCAGGAUAGCUAUCAACUGCUCAAGACCCGAAUUCGAUUACAUGAUAAAAGCCACAUCAGAUAGAUAUCAUACUGAAAUUUAAAUAUUUUAUGGCAAGACAAUAUUUGAAAUAUCUUCAAUUAAUUUAAUCAUGAAAUAACUUGCUUGAACAUAACAUUUAAACUCAUUUGAUAUAUAUGAAAGUAAUGCCCACCUGUUAGAAACUUUCUGUGGUACAGUAGCUCCUUAACUGAUUAUUAAUCUCGUGCUUGACCUUUAUUACGAGAAUAUAAAUAAGAUACUGCUCGAGUAAAAUCCUCAAUUAUUGAGAAUACAGAAUUAAUGAUGCAUGAUCCUUAUGCAUGAAUUAUUAUUCUGAAUUAAUAAUCAGGGAAUUUCUAUUGUUAAUCCAAACUAUCGGAUUUAAAUAAAAGCUAAGUUUCGUCUCAUGAAACCGGAUAAUUAACUAAAAUUAAUCUAUUCUCUUCAGGAUGUUAUAAUCCACUGAUUAAAUAAAUCCAUCUUUCUUGGUCGUUACUAAGAAAUAACUAAUUCGGCUUAUUCGCUGAAUAACCUCAUAAAUUAAUCGGGCUUAAUAAAUAGGAAUAAAUAAUGUUAUAAGAUUAAAUAAUUAAAAGGCUCAACAUAAGGCAGCCUAAUAAUUAAUUAAAUAGAAUUGGCUUGAAUAAUUAACAUGAGAGGCCCAAUUGAAAUAAUUCAUCGGUUCAAGUAAUUAAAUAAAUCUUGUCUCAAUAAAUAAAUAGUUUGAUUAGCUGGGCUCAAUUAAAUAAAUCAAACGAGGCCCAACGAAAAUAAUAUAACAGCCCAAUUAAAAUAAAAUAGAUGGGCUUUAAUUUAAAUAAAUUCGGCCCAAUGAAAUAAUGUAAUAAAAGCCCAUCUGAGUAAAAUAAAUAAAUUCAGAGGCCCAAUCAAUAAUUAAAAUCGGCCCAUAUAAAUAAAUUCAGAGCCCAAAAUUAAUAAAUAAGCCAGCCCAACUCAAGCCCACUGAAAUUAAAACAAAAUCGGCCCACUGAAACGAAACCCAAAUAAGGAGUCCAACAUAAUUAAAUAAAAUCCGGCCCAAUGAAAUGGCCCAACACUCUUUUCUCCCUUAUUUCCCCCUUCACAGCCGUUCACCCACAUCUCUCUCUUCCUCUCAAUUCUCAUCUCUCUCUCUCUACAUAACAGGCGAUUCCCCUCCCUCUCUAUCAAAGCUCCUCCGCUGCGGAAGCUCGCCGGGAAGCAGCGGCGUUAAGUGUCACAUCCCACUAUCCCAAUGACGGGUUAACCGGGGUUAUGACUUGGGGUGAACAAUAAGAAAUGGAAAUGGACAAUUACUUAACAUUAAAGUAUAUGGAAAUGUCACUCAUAGAUAAAAUGUUAGGAUCAUAUAUGAUUAUUUGGAUACUUAUAAAACAUACACAUAAAUGAGAACUGAUUAAGGUGGUUACCCAAUAACACGUAUCACAACUUCAUAUCAUAGAGCUAUCCUAAUCAAAGUGUUUUGCAGCGGAAAACGUGUGAGAUAUACAUAUGAAGAUGUAUACUCAAGGUUACAUUUCUUGAAAUGUCAAAGGAACACCCGCUCAACAUCAUUCCAUUCCAUCAACUGCUCAACCUGCACAUUUAGAAAUACAUGCAGGGUUGAGUAUAAAAAUACUCAGUGGACAUAGCCGAAAAUACAUACAUGCAUACAUAUAUAAAUUGAACUGCCAUAACAGUAACACACAGGGGUUUUCUUAAAUGACCUGCGCUUACUAAAACAUUUCUUUCAUUUUCAUAAAGUCGAUCGGCCGAUCAUUUUCCUUCAUAUGAUCCAUAUCUGUUCCUUUCUAUCACGCGCCGGGAAGGAGGCCUCCUUACCACGGACGCCAAGACCGGUCGCAAGCGACUCGCGGUCUCCAUGAGUGUACACGUUAACCCUAGCUAGCGACCUUUGUCUAGCAUAGGAUCCCAAUUGGAUUUCCUUUAAAGUUGGCGAACCAACACAGAUAGGAUACAUAUAAAAACAUAAACAUUUUUGGCAGUCAAUCAUUUCAUAAACAUUUCAUUUCAUUUCAUAAACAUUUCAUUUUUAUUUCAUAAGAGUCAUUUAUCAUUUGGGCAUAAUAAUAAACUGAAAUUAACAGUUAAAAUCAUCUCAUGCAUAUAUUCGUAUAAGAGGCCUACGACACGCAGGGGAUCUCUAUAUACGUAUAGUAAAAGUAAUGCCCACCUGAUUAGGCAAAGCCUGUCGUUUAUCCUUAUCUCUGAAUCGGAAUAGCAGUGCUAAUCCUCCUGUUGCUCAAAGCCUACAAGAAAUCUAUUCUCAAUAGGUCUCCUUGAAUUCUAAUCUUAAGUCAUGGUGUAGUGCUUAAUAUUCUAUGAUUCACUUAGCCGGGUUUUCAAAAUUUAAUGAAUAAAUAAUUGAAAACAUUUUCUCUUGAGUUAAGAACACCAACAAUAUUCUUACUCAUCUUUUAAUAAUUGGAAUUAUAAAUAAAACCAAUUAAAUCAUAAAUAUUCUUAUUGCAAAAUAUAAUGCAAAUCUUGUCAUGCUUAGCAUAUAAUAAGUAAUUUACUUAAAAUAUGCUUAUAAUAAUAAUUUAAUAUUAUUAUAAAAAUUUACUCUUUGAAAAUAAUUAAUUAAACUUAAUAAGUCUAAUUAAUUAUAAUAGUGUAGCUCCUUUAAAUAAAAUCUGUACAAAUCCAAUUAAAUAAAUACUUGGGCAGCCCAUGAUUUAAAAUAAUCAAAGGCCCAGCUUAAUAAAGAAAAUCGGCCCAAAAAUAAGAAAUAACCCAGCCCAUUUAAUUAAAAAUCUCGGCCCAAGUACUCAUAAAAAUCGGCCCAUAACUAAUUAAAUAAACUAAGCCCAAUUCGCAAGUCACCCUCAAUUAAAAUCGGCCCAAAUCAAAAUUUAAAACAAAGGCCCAACACUUCAAAGCCCAAGCCUAAAGCCCAACAUCCCACCCCCUUUUCUUCCCCCCUUCAGCCGCUCACACACACACGCAUAACAUAUCUCACUCUCUUCCUCUUCACGCCAAGCUCGCCCCCUUCUUCCCCGAAUCUCUUCCGGCGGACGACGGCAGCAAGGCCGCCGGCCGUCACCCUUUUUCUCACUCAAACAGAACCCGCACACGCAGACGCUCCUUGCGCCGCUCACGGCCCCGUCGUCCUCCGCUCAGCCCUCCGUUCAGCCCUCCGCUGAAACCCAACCACUACCACCAUCGCCUUCCUCCUUGGCGAUGACGGGACGCCGCCGGCCUCUCCUCCGGUGAAGGCAGCCUUCGGCCUCACCUCCCUCAGAAUUCUCUCUUUGACUCCCGCCGACGGGCAGCAGCCGGAGCCACCCGCCGGAGCCCUAACCUCCACCCAGACCAGCUCCGACCAGUCACCUGAACUCCCCCUCGUCCGUGGCCGGACGACAGCAACAACAAGGCUGCCGCGCCCUGGCCUCCCUCUUCCACUCUCGCCGAUCUCUCGACCCCAGCAUCAACUGACGUCCCCCGACUCCAAUCGCACAAAACCCACUCCAAAAUUGAAGAUAAAUUUAAGGCUUCAAAACUCAUUUUAUUCUAUUUUCAUUUAAUCAUGUUCAUUCAUGUAUGUAAAGAAAAGUAUAUACAUAUGUAAAGUUCAUUUCUUUACUCAGUUUCUUGCUUGUUAGAAAACACAAAUAUAUGCUACGCAUGUUUAUCAAUGAAUGAGUUGCCUGCUAAAAAUGAUUUUCUUUUAAGUAUGAAAAUGGUUUGCUGAACUGAAAUUUAGAUGCUGUGAUUGUGAGCAAACUGAAAUAAUCAAGGAAAUUUAUAAAUGAAACCUCAAGGAAUUUUGGAUGGAGUUGAGUCGUUGUUGUCUGGAUUUCUUUUGAGCUUCUCUUGAGUGGAAAAUAAAUAUAUAAUGAAUGUUGAAAGAUUUUGGAGAUUGGGAGAAUGAAUUUGCUGUCGGAUUUGUAGGAGAAGGGGAUAUGGCGUAGGAGGAGGAAUGACUUGGCUGCAGUGAUGUUAAGUGGAAUUUGAAAGUGGAUGUUAAGUGUAAAGGGCUGUCAUGGAGGUGGAAAGGAGGUGUAAAGGAAGGUGGCAUGGCUGUCAUGGAGGAGGUGGAAGAGGAGGUAGAUGUGGGAAAUUUGGUGGAGAAAUUAAAUAUAAUAAAAUAAAGUCUUCCGGGUUAUACUAUGAAAACUGUAAUAAUUCUUCAGGGUUUGCUGACUAAAUGCUCGCAAAAAUGCUUUGAAUGCUAAAUUAAAUAAAUAUGCGACGCACAUAAAUUUAAUAACUAAAUUUACAAAUGUUUUUGUAAAUUAUUUUUGUUGGAAUUAAAAAUAAAUUUAUUUUCUUUAUAUCCGGCGUGAAUCAUCCUGACUUCUAAGUUCAAAAUAAAUUCUAAAUUUAUCUCGGGGAAACGGGGUAUUACAUUAAGCCAUCGUCACCCGCUGCUUUCCCCUCUCCGUCCGUUUCCGGCGACGUCAUUGUCAAGCCGCCCUCUCUUUCGGCUCUCCGGCUCGACUCCGGCAAAGCAGCCCCCCCAACGUUGUCUCCACCUCUCCCUUCUCUUCUUUCUCGUGCGACAGGUACCCCAUGCGUCGGCCGGUCGCCACCGCUCCGAUUUCAAACGGAGGCGCCGCCUGAGCCCUAGUUUCUUCCCCAAAUCAGAGAGCGCCGCCGUCGCUGCAACUGGAAGUCCGACGUGAUUCGCCUCUUUCUUCUCCCUCGAAGCUCCUCCCUCACAAAAUUCAGAUCUCCCUGCGUCUGGACGUCCGCCGCCUCCACAGCUCCGUCGCGAAGGGCCCCGGCGAAGGUGUCCGGCCGAGAGUACCGUCCUUGGCCAUCGCCCCUCUCAAGAAUUUCUGCUCCGAGCCCUGGUGCCUCGUCGUCGUGUCGUCGCGUUGCCAACCCUGGGAUCAGCGAGUUGUGGUCGUCAUCGAGGUUCUUCUCUGACCGCGUCCGGCGAUUCCCCGAGCCCCAACGCCACUGCUGCUACUGGAAUCUUCAGCUUCGCCGUGCCGUUGCACUCCAGAAUCGGUGAGAUUUGCCGCUGCUGCGCACGAGUCCGACGAGUAGGGUCCGACGUUGCUGUUAUUUCCGGAAAGCUCGCGAAUGGCCGCUGCCCUCGUUGAAGAACCAGUGGAAUGUCGUUACUUGAUCUGAAAUCGGCGAGGCUCGCCGUCUGUCUUCCGGUUCGACGGAACAUACCAAUUAUCGGGUGACUUUUAAGAGCUAAGUCUUUAUUCGAUCUCCCUAUUCUUCUCUAGUUUCUAGUAGUUGUUAAGGAUGGAGGUUCUUAAGUUGGUUGUUCUAGAGAGCAGUAGGAUGUAAAGUAUAAAUCUUUCUAUGGUUAUACAUAUUAUGCCCAUUUGAUACUGUGGUAAUAUCUCAAUAUAUGAAUCAUACUACUUCUGUGAAACGCCUUAAAUCAUGUAUUCGCAUAUGGUUUGCUAUGUCUCUCUGUAAUAUGCUUAAUCCUAUAUUUCUGAACCUUUAAUACAUGAAGCAUGCUCUGUUGGGGUGUAAAAUGUGUAUAUGAAAGUAGUGAACUGAUAUAGCAUAAAAUACCUUGAGAAUGUGUUGGUUGGCUGUUGUGUUGCUAUUGUAAUCAGUGGGAAGAACUGAAAUGAAAACUGAUUAUUUGUUUUUCCUCAAUGAAUGCAGGAGGAAACGGGGAGAGGUAUUGGAAGAAUCGAAGUUAAAGUCUUACCUUGAAUGUUGGUAGGUGCAGUGAAGAAAGAUCUUUGUUCUUCUGAAAUUGCUAAGUGAAGGAUGAAGAAUAUGGUGUUCUUGGAUGGAGUCAACUAAGUGUAUUUGGUUUACGUGAGUUGAUGUAGGCUAAGUGGAGGAUUAUUGUAGUGGGAAAAAAAAAUUGAGUAGUGGUGGGGAAAAGUGAUGAUAAUGGUGUGGAGGAGUUGGGGAACAAAGGUUAAUGGAAGAAAAAGAAAUAAAAAAAAAUGUAGAGAAUAAUUAAUGAUGUAUUUUCUAUGUCUCGGUGAUUCUGUAACUGUAAAGUGGAUCGCGUGCUCAUAUUUGCUUGUACUGUUUAUUUAAAUAAAUCUCGAUUUCGACAUGUGAUAUCUCGCUAAAAUCGAUAAGUUAUAAAAUGAAAUCUAAAUUAAAUCCGCAGAUUUAAUUAACUCACGAGUCGGAAAUAAUCCACGACUUAAGUAAAAAUAAAUUCUAAUUCCAUCUCGCUUAAAUAAAUAACGUGACUUUGCUAAGUCGGUUAUAACUCUGAAAUAAUAUCAUUGACUGUUUUAACAAUAUAAAUUCAGGAUCUUAAGCUGAAUUCAUAUCAGGAUAAUAACCGUUUCCAUUCACUGAUGAACAAAAAUAAACACUCAUUACUGGAUUUAAAAUAUAUAAAAGAGCGGGUCGUUACAAAUUUGAUUAACUGCAAAGAGAAACAUUAACUUUGACAAACGUGAUUAAUCACACAAGCUAUUUCUCAAAGAAAAGUUGAUCUCCGCUGUAUAUGCUAUUGGUUUAACUGAUAAUUCUUAGGAUAGUCAGCUAGACUGAUAACAUCACUCUAUUCAUACAAACUUAACUGAAGCCUUUCGUGUAUCAGUUAAAGUCUCAAGACUUAACCGAUAACUCCUUACUGAAGAGUUUUCAGUAUCAGUCAACAACCUCGGCCUUAACAAAGUCUUUUAAUCUAAAAGGUUGUGUAAAAGUUAUUUUCAACAAAAAUAGCCUAUAAGUGUAUUCUCUCCCCAUACACCUAUUCGAGACCCUCCGAACCCAACAAGUAGUCAGAAAAUCUACAAAGGAAAAAUGGCACACCUGCAUCAUCAUCAUUGUCCCAGUUAGGGGGAGAAGUGGAUGGACUCCUAUUUUCAGCCUGCUCUGAAUAUCGCCAUUAAGCUAAUGCUUCCCCAGACUACAUCGCAGCUGUUGUUGCCCAGUUAAAACCAUUUCAAAUGAUCGUCCAACUCCAGCCUCCUCAGUUGCAGCUCUUACCAUUUUCCCCACUCCAUAAUACCUGGCACAUUUCCUCUAUGUCGCAUACUUCGAUAUAAAUUAAACUUCAUUUUAGAACAGAUAAGAGCUGCGUGCAAGAUAAAAUUAUAUAAAUUGGCAAGUCAAACAGUAAUGAUACAAAAUUAAAUACUCAUUAUAGAAACAUGGAGUAAAUUGACUAAUGAAGCUUUUGAUAAUGCAAUGAAUUUGACAUAUAAGAAGAACAAUAAUCAAACAAAUAAAUACAAGAUGAAUGGCAGUGUGGUGUGGAGACGCUAAAAUGAGGAAUCAAAUAUAAAAAGAGAAAUAUUCAUUUUGUGUUUUUAAAAUAAUUAAGAGGAUAUGGAGAUUAGGAAAGAAUUAUGUCGACUUAGAGAGGGAGAGAGUUUACCAUUGCAAGUCGGUGCAAUUGGAUUCACAGAAACUAUAAUUGAUUUUCGACGGUUGGAUCCAGGUAAACGCGCUAGAAUAUGGAGCUCACGAGGCACCUUGGUCGCUCGCGAGAGAAUGAGAAUGUAGAUUAGGGUUGUGAUGCAGCGGCUCAGCCGUGCAGAUGGCGUCUUUCAAGCAGGCACCAUGGUUGGCGGCUCUGCUCCGCCGCGGUGCUGAUGGCGUCUUUGAAGUAGGCGCCAUGAUCAGGUCGCAUAGCUUUGAUGUUUGUGUUGCGCGUAUGUGUUAGGGUUUUGGUGUUUUUGAAAUAAAUACUCCAUCUGUCCCACCUUCAUAGUCACUUAUUCAUUUUUUAGAUGUCUCACAAUAUAGUCCGCUUUCUAAUUAAAUUAGCAUUAAAUUUCUUCUUUUACCAAAGUAACCUUAUUUAAAUAUAGUCUAACAUAGAAUAAAUAAGGGCAAAAUUGAAUAAUUACAUAUAUUUUGUAUUUUCCAAGUACUAUUUGAAUUUUCCAAGCACUAUUUAUUGAAUUUUCUUAAUAUGUGUGAAAAAGUGAAGUGGACUAUGGAGGUGGGACGGAUGGAGUAUAAAAUAAGAAAAAUAAAGCCACAUAGAUCUAUAUAUUAAAGCCAAGAGCUUUAGAAUUAUAAAUAAAUAAAAUAAAAAAUUGUGAUGAAGCCACGUAGGAGAGUGAAUUAAGGAGAUUGUCAUAAAUCACUAAUCGAAAUUAUAUAAUCUAUACAUAUAUUAAAGCAUAGAAACUUAGGGGAAUGUGAUCCCGCCAAGAGCAACAUCUGUUGGCCCAAUGUGUAUUUCUGAAUUUUGUCCGCUGAGUUUAAGAAUGUAAGCAGUUUUUGGCUCCAACAGUUCAGCCCACAUUUGAAUUUGAAUUUUUUGGAGCCCAAAUUAUUGCUUUCUUUCUCUAUAAAUAUGAAGUAAUUUCAGACCAAAUUCACUCUGCAAACUCUCUCUCUAUUUUAUGGUUUUUAUUCUCUCUCCCUCUCUAUUUUAUGGUUUUUAUGUUUCUAUGUCGUACUCUCAUUUUUUGCAGUUUAGUUCUUCUUUUUCUUUUCUUUUUUGUUUUUAUGUUUAUAUGUAGUACUUUUAUUUUAUUUUUUGCUUUUGGCUAAGAGCAUCCGCAUUGGGACCUCCUUGAUAGCCUACUUGAUAGUGUUUGUGUUAUUGAGUAGGUAGUGCUGCAUUGGGGUUCCUUGAUAGCCUCCUUGAUAAUAUUAGUUUUGAUUUUAUGUUUUUCAUUUAAAUUUUAUUGCAUAAUUUAAAUUGCAUAUUUAAAUACUGGAUUAAACAUAAAAUUUAAAAUUACUUAAAACAUAAAAAAAAUACAUAAAAAUUUAAAAAACCUAAAACAUCAUUAAAAUCACAUAAUUAAAAGCCUAGGAUAGACCACGACGCCUGAGCACGUCGGCGACCAUGGACGCGUGCAAUGCACGUUGUGCGUCCGUCAUGUUCGUCGUAUCCGUGUUCAGGAGCUGCAUAUCGAGCUCCCUCUCCCGGAUAUCGUUCCUCCGCUGGUACUGGGCGGUGAAUGCCCUCAUCUGCGCGUCGUUCCUAUCCAACCUCUCCACAAUUUCUGGUGGAGGAUCCGAGCUCGUAUGCGACGCUGCUGCCAUCCCUUUCCCUUUUCCGCCGCCUUCGCCGCCUUGGCCGCCGCCUUCGCCGCCUUGUUGCCAAUGGGCCGAGCAGAAGAGAUCUCCUCGCCCGACGCCGAGGUGGUGAAGCCGCCCUCCUCCGUAGUCUUUGUCCUCUUGGAGGCAUGCACGUCUCCAAGGAGGUACAUCGACUUGAACUUGGGAUUAUGCCGGAGAGUUCUCCACGCGUUCCAGAAAUUGAAGGAGGCAUUGGUUGGGCUUCUAGCCUUGAAGAUGGUUUGGGCCUUUUCACGAAUCAUAUCAUCCGAAUGACCGGACGGCCAAUUGUUGCGCGUCUCCACCCAAACAGCUUCCCAGAGACGCACAUCCGCGCUCACCCGGGACCAGUGGCCUUGAAGUUGCUUGAUGCCGAGGUCGACGCCGAGGAUGGGGUUCACACGUUCGCGGAUCCGGCCCCAAUAUGACUCUCCCUUCUGAUCCGUCCCACGGAUCGAGUCGUUGGUCUCCUCCGCCCAAAUUUGGACGAUGAGAUCCGUAUGCUGUGGAAGGUAAGUAUGACGGUAAACUUUUGGUUUGUCGUGCUUCAUUUUGGUAGCCUUUUCCUUCCUUCGGCCGCUUUUUUUUGGUGGGGAGACACUCUGCUGAGCACUCACCGGUUCCUCCUCGGGCGGGCUCUCCUCCAAGUUGAUUCCUCCCAUAUCGGGAUGAUAAUCGGAGGAGAGAUCAGGGCACCAAUUUGGAUCGUAGAAAGGGUUGUGUGGAUCCAUGACGGAGAAAAUUGUAGGAGAAGAAGAGGUGUGAAGAGAAGAAGGAAGAAGAAAGAAGGAGAAUAGGUGUGGAGAAGAAGGAAGAAGAUGGGUAGUUUUAAAGAAGAGAAGAAGGAGAAAAAAAAAAAAAAAAUAAAAAACGGUACGGUCAAAGGUGCGGAGACCGAGGAGCUGCAGUCAAAAAGAAUAUAUAUAAAUCGAAUUUCGUAUUUUUCAUAAUUUUUUUUUAAAUUGGGCGCGUGCAUUGCACGCGCCAUCUCCACCGGCCAUUCGAGGAUACUCGAUAACUCGAGGAGUCCUCGAGGAGCUCCUCGCCGCAUCGCCCUCCUCGACGCAGAUGGUCUCCUCGAGGACCUCCUCGAGUACCCGCGAUGCGGGUGCUCUAACUAUUAGUCACAGUUACAAUAGAGAUACCAACAGAUUAUUACAACAAUUAUUUCUAAUUUAUACAUGAAGAGGCUGAUAUUUUCUGAAUUUUUCUUUCCAGAGCAUGAAAGUGAUUAUCUCUUGGAUAUGCAAAAGCAACCAAAAAAAUGAAUUUAGUAUAUUUUAAUGAUCAGGAAAUAGACUAUUGUAUAUGUAAACUUUUUCUUCAUACCCACAAAGGAAUUGGUUUUUUUUUGUUAUUUUUCUGCUAAAACAAUUUUUUACUUAUUUUCAAGCAUCAUCAAUAGACUAAUCCGAGAAUCAGCUCAAAUUUUCUAGAAUCCUCAAAUUUUCAAAGAAAAAACCGAUAAUCAGUUUAAAUUCCGAUAAUCAGUUUAAAUUCUUUUAAAUCAAAGAUGCAAAUAAAGUAAAAAAAGUGAAAAUAGGAAAGAACAUAAAAUUAUGCGGAAAAAUAUAAAGAUGUUCAUAGAGAUCGAUGUUCAUGUUAAAAAAAAGGUGUUCAUAGAAAUUUUCAUAGAUCUGCAAAAUUGAUAUGCGAAGGUAAACAGCUUGGUGAUUCGCGCAUGCAAUGAGCAGACAAGAAGGAAGAAGAUGAGGAACAGAGAUUCAACAAAAGGAAGAAGACGAGGAACAUAGAUUCAACAAUGGAGCCCCAGAAAUAGCAGCCAAAUCAAAACUUACCAACAUAAAACGCCUGCUCCAGACCUUAACAAUAAGGUCGCUUCCUUCAAAAAAUAUGAGAAGAGAAAUUGUGGAAUCCACAUAAACUCUAUCAGGUAUGAGAAGAGAAAUUGUAAAAUACAAAGUGAAAGGCUACUUUUAUCCCCUCAAAAUUUGUGGAUAUCGUUUAAAUGAACAAAAAAAUAAUAAUUCAGAAAGGAAAAUUAAACAUGGAGAACGAUAGAAUUAAAGAUGCAGACGAGGGAGCAGGCCGAGAUCUAGAGGCUAGGGCUUGGGCGAGGCCGUAGUUUGAAAUCUGUACGGCGGCGACUGGAUACGGGCUGUGCAGUUGCGCAUUUAUCGUCGUCGAGGAGAGUGGCGACGCCACUGAGUUGCGCCAGUGCCUAGAUGUGAGGGCGGAGUUGGUGGCUUAGGGAUCUAGGGCUUUUGGACGGCGGCUUGCCGUGAUACAGUUGCAGGUUUUCGCCGGCAGAGGAUGAGGCGAAGGGAGAGAGACGAUGAUGGAAAGCUUCUCGCGGGCAGCGGCGCAUGUGGAAAGGAGGAAUGUUUCGACUGGGAGAAGAAACGAGAGAGAAGGCGCGGCGCUGAACCUUAAAGUGAGGGGAUGAAUAUUUGAGCUGUAUUUUAGGGUUGAAAAUAUAGAUGGGUUGUAUUUAAUUUAAUUGGGCUGAAUUUUUGGGU